rnacentral:rRNA from 1 species
CCUACGGGUGGCAGCAGUGGGGAAUAUUGCACAAUGGGGGAAACCCUGAUGCAGCAACGCCGCGUGAGUGAAGAAGGAUUUCGGUUUGGAAAGCUCUAUCAGCAGGGAAGUAGAUGACGGUACCUGAUUAAUACACCCCGGCUAACUACGUUCAAGCAGCCGCGGGAUUACGUAGGGGGCAAGCGUUAGCCGGAGUUACUGGGUGGAAAGGGAGCGCAGACGGCAGUGCAAGUCUGGAGUGAAAGCCCGGGGCCCAACCCCGGAACUGAUCUGGAAACUGUGCGUCUAGAGUACUGGAGGGGCAGGCGGAAUUCCUAGUGUAGCGGUGAAAUGCGUAGAUAUUAGGAGGAACGCCAGUGGCGAAGGCGGCCUGCUGGACAGUAACUGACGUUGAGGCUCGAAAGCGUGGGGAGCAAACAGGAUUAGAUACCCUAGUAGUC